UGGGGAAUAUUGCACAAUGGGCGAAAGCCUGAUGCAGCAACGCCGCGUGAGGGAUGACGGCCUUCGGGUUGUAAACCUCUUUUAGUAGGGAAGAAGCGAAAGUGACGGUACCUGCAGAAAAAGCACCGGCUAACUACGUGCCAGCAGCCGCGGUAAUACGUAGGGUGCAAGCGUUGUCCGGAAUUAUUGGGCGUAAAGAGCUCGUAGGCGGUUUGUCGCGUCUGCUGUGAAAUCCCGAGGCUCAACCUCGGGCUUGCAGUGGGUACGGGCAGACUAGAGUGCGGUAGGGGAGAUUGGAAUUCCUGGUGUAGCGGUGGAAUGCGCAGAUAUCAGGAGGAACACCGAUGGCGAAGGCAGAUCUCUGGGCCGUAACUGACGCUGAGGAGCGAAAGCGUGGGGAGCGAACAGGAUUAGAUACCCUGGUAGUCCACGCCGUAAACGUUGGGCGCUAGAUGUAGGGACCUUUCCACGGUUUCUGUGUCGUAGCUAACGCAUUAAGCGCCCCGCCUGGGGAGUACGGCCGCAAGGCUAAAACUCAAAGGAAUUGACGGGGGCCCGCACAAGCGGCGGAGCAUGCGGAUUAAUUCGAUGC
rnacentral:rRNA from 1 species